GUCUGGGUGGCGCAAUUGGUAAGCUCAUCCUUCAAUCCCAUUCAUCCUCAACAUAAUCCUAAUUCAUUCUAAAGGUUAGCGCGUACGACUGUUAAUCGUGAGGUUGAGAGUUCGAUCCUCUCCCUGGACG